GGUGAACGCUGGCGGCGUGCUUAACACAUGCAAGUCGAACGAGAAACUUAAUAGCUUGCUAUUUAAGACUAAGUGGCGCACGGGUGAGUAAUAUAUAGGUAACGUGCCUUCAAGAAGGGGAUAACAGUUGGAAACGACUGCUAAGACCCUAUAUGCCUUUAUGACAUAAGUCAGCAAGGGAAAUAUUUAUAGCUUGAAGAUCGGCCUGUACGGUAUCAGUUAGUUGGUGAGGUAAUGGCUCACCAAGACAAUGACACCUAACUGGUUUGAGAGGAUGAUCAGUCACACUGGAACUGAGACACGGUCCAGACUCCUACGGGAGGCAGCAGUGGGGAAUAUUGCACAAUGGACGAAAGUACUGAUGCAGCAACGCCGCGUGGAGGAUGACACAUUUCGGUGCGUAAACUCCUUUUAUAUAGGAAGAUAAUGACGGUACUAUAUGAAUAAGCACCGGCUAACUCCGUGCCAGCAGCCGCGGU
rnacentral:rRNA from 1 species